UGGGGAAUAUUGCACAAUGGGCGAAAGCCUGAUGCAGCAACGCCGCGUGAGCGAUGAAGGCCUUCGGGUCGUAAAGCUCUGUCCUCAAGGAAGAUAAUGACGGUACUUGAGGAGGAAGCCCCGGCUAACUACGUGCCAGCAGCCGAGGUAAUACGUAGGGGGCUAGAGUUAUCCGGAUUUACUGGGCGUAAAGGGUGCGGAGGAGGUCUUUUAAGUCAGGAGUGAAAGGCUACGGCUCAACCGGAGUAAGCUCUUGAAACUGGAGGACUUGAGUGCAGUAGUGGAGAGUGGAAUUCCUAGUGUAGCGGUGAAAUGCGUAGAUAUUAGGAGGAACACCAGUAGCGAAGGCGGCUCUCUGGACUGUAACUGACGCUGAGGCACGAAAGCGUGGGGAGCAAACA
rnacentral:rRNA from 1 species